AUGAACGCUAGCUACAGGCUUAACACAUGUAAGUCGAGGGGUAACAGGAGAGAAGCUUGCUUUCUUGCUGACGACCGGCGCACGGGUGAGUAACGCGUAUCCAACCUCCCUAGUAGCGGAUAGCCGGCGAAAGUCGGAUUAAUACGCUAUGUUCUUCGUUGAUGGCAUACUGAUGUGAAGCAAAGAUUAAUCGCUAAGGGAUGGGGAUGCGUCUGAUUAGGUAGUCGGCGGGGUAACGGCCCACCGAGCCAUCGAUCAGUAGGGGUUCUGAGAGGAAGGUCCCCCACACUGGUACUGAGACACGGACCAGACUCCUACGGGAGGCAGCAGUGAGGAAUAUUGGUCAAUGGGCGCGAGCCUGAACCAGCCAAGUAGCGUGCAGGGAAUGACUGCCCUAUGGGUUGUAAAACUGCUUUUAUCAGGGAAUAAAGUGAGGCACGUGUGCCUUUUUGUAUGUACCUGAUGAAUAAGGACCGGCUAAUUCCGUGCCAGCCGCCGC
rnacentral:rRNA from 1 species